UUUCGUCGGCUAAACCUUAUAAAAAAAUUUAAAAAUACUAUAGCCGACGAAUAAACCUUUAAAUAUCGUCGGCUAAAAUUGCUGGUUUUUGAAAAAAAAAACUGCAGAAACUUUCGGCCACCUCCAAUCACCACCAAAAUUUGACAGAAUCUUCCUCUCAACAUUUCGAACAACUUUCUAGAAGAAGUCGAAGCUCAAUUCUAAGCCUAAACAGGUCAAUUGAAUCAAAAUAUAAAAAUCCCCAAUUUUAAACCCUAAAAACUUCAAAUCUUCGAUUCUUCUCACACACACCGAAUCGAGCUACUAAAUUCUAGGGGAAUGUAGUACUAAUCAAACUCAACUUAUCCAUAUAUAGAACUCACCAAAUGGUGACCUGAGGAAUGAGAAAUUCGAUCGACACUGAAUCCGAACCGGCGGAGUUUUGGAGCUCGAUUUAUCUCUCACGGCGGCGCCACUCGAUGCACCACCUGUCCAGCAAUGAAGUAGAGACGACGGCGAAGCUUUUGGGACAAGUGUGGCGGUCUCCGGUGGCUUGACGGGGGAGCUAGGCCGACAAGAAAAUCUGGCAGGCGAAAUAGACUUCUUACCAUCCACCUUCGGUAAAACUCCUAUAUAAAGAACUUUAGCCGACGAAAUUCUUUAUUUUCGUCGGCUAAACUCUUUUGAAAAUUUUGAAAAUUUUGGUUUGACUGCCAAAAAAUUUUGCUUGAAAAUUUUGAAAAUUUUUGGACUUUAGCCGACGACUUUUCAUAUAUUUUCGUCGGCUAAAGUCCUUUGAAAAUUUUUCUCCAAAUUUGGUUUACCGCCCAAAAAUUUUUGACCUUAGCCGACGACUUUUUUAAUAUCUCGUCGGCUAAAGUCUAUAAAUUCACGAAAACGCUCAUAUCUCCCUUUAUAUUACAUAGCUUGGUCAAACCUUCCACACGAAAAACUUUCACGUAGAUGAGACGCAACCGCCUAUAUAAAAAUUUUGAGACAUUUGCCUUCCGACGAUAGGGCUCCCCAUAGGGAAUAAUAACGGUAUAUAGGGUUGACCGCUACUAUCGGCACCGAGACUUUACCCGAUUUACGUGAUUUUUGAAUCAUAGCCGUAUUUCACCAUUCUGAACACAUCUUAUUUCACGAGAUUUUUGAUAAUUUUGCUUCCUAUAUAGAGUUGGUUCACAAAGUUGUAUAACCUACUAAACAAGUUAUACAACAUUAGUAGACAUGUUGUGAUUCCGAUGACUAAAAUUCACAAACCAAAAUUCGACUGUCAGAUAUGAUCAUUAUGACAAAAGAUGUCUAUGGUAAAAAAUUCAACUGGAUCCGACAACGUUAAGGACUCGAUCGAAACGGUUAACCCUAAUCCAUCGUCACUUAUCACACGAAAACGCUCAUAUCUCUCUCUAUAUUACGUGGUUUUGUCAAACCUUCCACACAAAAAACUCUCACGUAGAUGAGACGCAACUGCCCAUAUAAAAAUUUUGAGACAUUUACCUUCCGACGAUAGGGCUCCCCAUAGGGAAUAAUAACGAUAAAUAGUAGACACGUUGUGAUUCCGAUGACUAAAAUUUACAAACCAAAAUUCGACUGUCCGAUAUGAUCAUUAUGACGAAAGAUUUCUAUGGUAAAAAAUUCAACUGGAUUCGACAACGUUAAGGGCUCGAUCGAAACGGUCAACUCUAAUCGGAAAUAAGAAAACUGCAUUUUGAAGCCCUAAACGGACUCGGAUGGCCAAAAAGGCCCAUACAUCAUGGCAUUAGCGAUGAGUUUGACUCGUAGGGCCGUUGGGCUUCCGGAAAGGUAUCACAAUAGUCAAUCGGACACCAAAAACCAAAUCUGCAGCAUAAUGAAUAGUAAGGGUAAAUUGCAUUGACCGCAACUAUCGGCACCGAGACUUUACCAGAAUACCGUGAUUUUUCAACUGUAAACGUAUUUCACCAUUCUGGUCAUAUCUUAUUUCACGACUUUUUUGCGUUUGAAGGUUCUACGUAUAGUUUUUUUUCCCAAAUGAGUUGUUGUCCAGAUCUACAAAUAUAAGGCACUUUAGCCGACAAAAUUAAGGCACUUUAGCCGACGAAAUUAUAUUUUCGUCGGCUAAACUUUUAAAAAUUUCGUCAGCUAAAGUUCACAGACUAUAGCCGACGAAAAAAAUUAUUCAGACGACGAAAUUUUAAUUUCGUCGGCUAAAGUUGACCAUAGCCGACGAAAAUUUUUAAUUAGCCGACGAAGGGAAAUUACUUUAGCCGACGAAAAAAUAAUUCGUCGGCCUGGUUUUUU
rnacentral:lncRNA from 1 species